GCAUUUCCUUCUCUGAAGACUCAGGUGUGGAAUGAGCGGGGCUGUGGGUGCAGCGUGGGCGAGACUCCUCUCAGCCUCCCUGGGCCUGAUCAAGGUCACCGACCCCCAGCUGUAGUCCCCAAGACUGGCUCCUGAUGGCUUUUGUGCCCCGCUCAGCAAAAGCCCAGCUGGGAUCCUCUUGGUGGCCCAGACAGAGGCAGCCUUCCGUGACUUCUGCUGUCAUCCCAGUGGCCUCUGUCUCCAGAGCAGGUGGAGCAAGGAGGCUGUCUACUUGCUCCCUGGACCCAGCGGACAUAUUCCCAGAGACAGCUGGAAAUAUCAUUGUGAUGUCGGACACUGGAGAUGGGACAGGAGCCACACAGACCCAGCUUUGCCCUCCGGAACUCACAGCAUCCCAGCGGCCGGCAGGGAGAGAGAGGGCCAGCAAACAACUCCGCGAGGGGGUCCCGCGAUAACAUGCGAGAAGUGGGUGGAGAACGCCGGGCAAGCCUGGGUAGCCGAGGAGGGACAGACAAGCAGGUUCAAGUGAUUCUCCUGUCUCACCCUCUCGAGUAGCUGGGACUACAGGUGAGCACCACUACGC
rnacentral:lncRNA from 10 species